rnacentral:tRNA from 1 species
GGAGAGGUGGCUCAGUGGUUAAGAGCAUUUGAUACUCUUGCAGAAGACCUGGGUUUGUUUCCUAGCCUCUACA